CUCAUGCUUAACAUUUGGUUGUGUGAACCAAAAAACCUUUAGCUCGUAAUUAUUUUCCGUACAUAGGUGAUGUCGAGACACACCAGGUCCUGUGUCAUGACACACCAGGUCCUAUGUCGCGACAUCGAUGGCAGUAUGCUCAACUUCAGGGUAACUAAGAAGAAGAUGAAGAGAGAAAAACUUAACAAAAUUGAGAAAAAUUCCCCCAAGUUAUUCAUUUCUCUACUAUUUAUAGCCCUUCACACACGGUCUUCAACCUUAUAAAAACUAUCCAUUAGUAAUCAUUUUGUCUCCCACUAACGAACUAGUUGGUUCUCAUCCAACCGAAUCUGAAUUGAAACUAAAC
rnacentral:lncRNA from 1 species